UACGUAGGGUGCGAGCGUUUGUCCGGAAUUACUGGGCGUAAAGAGCUCGUAGGCGGUUUGUCGCGUCUGCUGUGAAAACUCGGGGCUUAACUCCGGGCCUGCAGUGGGUACGGGCAGACUAGAGUGCAGAAGGGGCAACUGGAAUUCCUGGUGUAGCGGUGAAAUGCGCAGAUAUCAGGAGGAACACCGGUGGCGAAGGCGGGUCUCUGGGCCGAUACUGACGCUGAGGAGCGAAAGCGUGGGGAGCGAACAGG
rnacentral:rRNA from 1 species